ACCAACACCAGGAAAUUCUGCUGGCCUCUCAGCUGGGGUCAUUGACAGCAUCGUGGUCGGAGUCCUGGCCGGGGUAGCUCUGAUAGCUCCGGUGUACUUUCUGCAUAUCUGAAACAUUGGACGAUGGAUGAAGCUGCAUAUUCUUCCCUGAACUUCAAUGUCCAGGAAUCAAAGAAACCAACUUCAGCCUCCCCACCCCAUCAGCCACAGAAACAGUUUAUUCAGAAAUAAAAAAGAAGUAAUGCAACC